rnacentral:rRNA from 1 species
AUUGAACGCUGGCGGCAGGCCUAACACAUGCAAGUCGAACGCGUGGCGGACGGGUGAGUAAUGUCUGGGAAACUGCCCGAUGGAGGGGGAUAACUACUGGAAACGGUAGCUAAUACCGCAUACCAUCGGAUGUGCCCAGAUGGGAUUAGGGAGUAGGUGGGGUAACGGCUCACCUAGGCCACGAUCCCUAGCUGGUCUGAGAGGAUGACCGGCCACACUGGAACUGAGACACGGUCCAGACUCCUACGGGAGGCAGCAGUGGGGAAUAUUGCACAAUGGGCGCAAGCCUGAUGCAGCCAUGCCGCGUGUGUGAAGAAGGCCUUCGGGUUGUAAAGUACUUUCAGCGAGGAGGCGUUACUCGCAGAAGAAGCACCGGCUAACUCCGUGCCAGCAGCCGCGGUAAUUC